rnacentral:rRNA from 1 species
UGCGUAGGCGGCCGCUUAAGUAGGGUGUGAAGUGUCCCGGCUCAACCGGGGAAUGGCGCUCUAAACUGGGUGGCUCGAGUGAGAUAGAGGUGUGCGGAACUUCCGGUGGAGCGGUGAAAUGUGUUGAUAUCGGAGGGAACACCAUUGGCGAAAGCGGCACACUGGGUCUUAACUGACGCUGAGGCACGAAAGCCAGGGGAGGCAAACG